GACGAACGCUGGCGGCGUGCUUAACACAUGCAAGUCGAACGGAAAGGCCCUGCUUUUGUGGGGUGCUCGAGUGGCGAACGGGUGAGUAACACGUGAGUAACCUGCCCUUGACUUUGGGAUAACUUCAGGAAACUGGGGCUAAUACCGGAUAGGAGCUCCUGCUGCAUGGUGGGGGUUGGAAAGUUUCGGCGGUUGGGGAUGGACUCGCGGCUUAUCAGCUUGUUGGUGGGGUAGUGGAUUACCAAGGCUUUGACGGGUAGCCGGCCUGAGAGGGUGACCGGCCACAUUGGGACUGAGAUACGGCCCAGACUCCUACGGGCGGCAGCGGUGGGGAAUAUUGCACAAUGGGCGGAAGCCUGAUGCAGCAACGCCGCGUGCGGGAUGACGGCCUUCGGGUUGUAAACCGCUUUCGCCUGUGACGAAGCGUGAGUGACGGUAAUGGGUAAAGAAGCACCGGCUAACUACGUG
rnacentral:rRNA from 1 species